UACGGGGGGGGGCAAGCGUUGUUCGGAAUUACUGGGCGUAAAGGGCUCGUAGGCGGCCAACUAAGUCAGACGUGAAAUCCCUCGGCUUAACCGGGGAACUGCGUCUGAUACUGGUUGGCUUGAGUGUGGGAGAGGGAUGCGGAAUUCCAGGUGUAGCGGUGAAAUGCGUAGAUAUCUGGAGGAACACCGGUGGCGAAGGCGGCAUCCUGGACCAUUACUGACGCUGAGGAGCGAAAGCCAGGGAGCAAACGGG
rnacentral:rRNA from 1 species